rnacentral:tmRNA from 1 species
GGGGAUGUUAUUGGCUUCGACGCCGGUGAUGAAACUCAUAGAUGCAUGCCGAGAGCGCAUUUUCUCUCGUAAAUAAAAUUUGCAUUUAAAUAGUCGCAAACGACGAAACUUACGCUCUAGCU